UGGGGAAUCUUGCACAAUGGGGGAAACCCUGAUGCAGCGACGCCGCGUGAGCGAUGAAGGUUUUCGAAUCGUAAAGCUCUGUCCUAUGGGAAGAUAAUGACGGUACCAUAGGAGGAAGCCCCGGCUAACUACAUGCCAGCAGCCGCGGUAAUACGUAGGGGGCGAGCGUUGUCCGGAACUACUGGGCGUAAAGGGUUCGCAGGCGGCAUGACAAGUCCGAUGUAAAAGGCGAAAGCUCAACUUUCGUAAGCAUCGGAAACUGUCAAGCUUGAGUGAAGGAGAGGCAAGUGGAAUUCCUAGUGUAGCGGUGGAAUGCGUAGAUAUUAGGAGGAAUACCGGUGGCGAAGGCGACUUGCUGGACUUCAACUGACGCUGAGGAACGAAAGCGUGGGUAGCAAACAGG
rnacentral:rRNA from 1 species